rnacentral:lncRNA from 1 species
AAAAACAAUGUCUUCCCCUUUAAAAGAAAGAGCCACAUUAAUGAUAAAUCAUUCCCUAGCAUUGAAAAUAGUAUCUAUUCCCUUAGCACACGCUACCUAAACACAACAAUCUCCAUUUCCAUUCAACUUCUCAGAAAAGCUCAGCUAGGGCAAAGAAAAUUUUCUCAAAAGUCCUACAACAUGUCUCAACAUCCAUCAUCAUCUGGUUCAAAAUCCUCCCACCAUGCAAAGACUCCAUCCAUGGAGUUUGUAGAUGAAGACGUGAUGGACGUUACUCC